AACGAACGCUGGCGGCAUGCCUAACACAUGCAAGUCGAGCGGGACCUCCGUGACUAGUGGCGCAUGGGUGCGUAACGCGGGGGAACCUGCCCUUAGGUUCGGAAUAACUCUCCGUAAGGGGUGCUAAUACCGGAUAAUGUCCUCGGAUCAAAGAUAUAUCGCCCUUGUUUGGGCACGCGAUGGUUUAGCCGGGUGGUAGGGUAAGAGCCGACCAAGGAGACGAUCCAUAGCUGGUCUGAGAGGAAGGUCCGCCACACUUGGACUAGGACACGGCCGGGACUCCUGCGCGAGGCAGCAGUGGGUAAUAUUGGCCUAUGGGCGAGGGCCAGAUCCAGCAAUGCCGCGAAAGUCAUGAUGGCCUUAGAGUUGUGAAGCUCUUUUACCCGGGGUGAUAAUGACGGUACCGGAAGAAUAAGCUCCGGCUAACUCCGUG
rnacentral:rRNA from 1 species